ensembl:lncRNA
AGACUACUCCAUAAACUGAGCUAAGCAGCGUGGGGCUUGAGAGGCUGAGUCCGACUUUGAAAGAAGUUCUAAUGUGGGGAAAACGCAAUCAGCAUUGCAUGCUACAGAGAAAUCGUGCAUGACAGGAAGAGUUAAUCGAUUUGGUAGCCUUCGUCGUGGUCUUAUUUUAAGAAAUUGCCACAGCCAGCCCAGCCUUCAGCAGCCCCCACCCUGAUCCAUCAGCAGCAUCAAUGUGCAGGCAGGACCCUCCACCAGCAAAAAGACUGUGACUCACUAAAGCCUCAGAUGAUUGUUCAACCUCUUUAGCAAGAAAAUAUUUUUUAAAAUUAAGGGUUUUACAUGCGCACAUAUGGUCCUCCUAGUUAAUUUGAAAACUGACUCUGGCUGCAGCCGGGACAACGUGGGAUCCUCAACCUGUUGCGCCACUGCGAGAAGACUGGGGAGUAAUUCUAACUCCCGUGACUUCGUCGUGCCUCGAAGUAGAAGUCUAGACAUCUGGAUUUGGACAUCUGGAUUCAUCCCUUGCUGUAUCCUCUAGGUUCUUUAAGGACACCGUCAAAGAUGGUGACCGACGCAGACCCUUGUAAAACGUCACAAGACUGGCAUACUUGUAGGUGAUAAGGACGGAGAAAUAAAACAUAGGAUCUCAGCCCGGCCUUACAGGUGCUGCCCAAAGUCACAACAUCUGGAGCGCAGCCUGGAGCUGAGACGCGGGGGCUCUGCCGUGAGCCUGCUCGGCCCGGCCCCGAGGCUGGGCGCUCUCAUCCGGACCUGCUUUGGUGCAGGAGAGCAGGAUGGCAGCGGCCGGGAGGUUUCGCAUCCAGACUGAGCCAGGGUGAAGGCCUCCGAGCCAGGCUCGCUCUGCUGUGGCUUCGGCAGUUUCUCCUUCCAGGGGGACCUUCAGCCCCUCCGUCUGCUUUCGGCAGGUGGUGUGUGCAUGGGGAGCACACGUCCCGAGGGCUUGGCUCCGGCUCUGCCAUUGACCGUCCCGUGACCCUGGGCUCUAACUUCUUGCUGAGCCUCCGUUUUCUCUCGGGCAAAAUGCAGGUGCUAAUCAUCCCCACUUCAUGGAUUGCUGGGAUCACAUCUCUGUUGUGGAAAACUUUAGGGUAAACUAAAGUGCGCUAGAGGCAGAACAUCGGGUCUGGGCCGUGUGUCUGCCGAUUGGCUAGUUUAACCUUGAGAAAAACCUCUGCCACUGCCUGCCCGUCUGUUUCCGGUCUCCAAGCCCAGAUCUUUCUCUUCGCAGGCCCCAGACACGCCCCUGGUACAUGGAGAUAUCUCAUACUGGCAAUAAUAUAACAUUUCUUUUAUUUGAUGAUGUUAUUGAAUAAUUUUUUAUUUUUAAUCUAAGCAAACACUUAAGUUUAAAAAAACUAGUAACUAUGAAUCUUAACAUAGAAAUGUUAGCCCCUGCCCGUCUUCCGCCCAGUGCCGGUCCACCACUUCCACUGCUUUUAACUGGUUUAUCUGGAAAUAGCUCUACAUGUCUAAACAGCAUCCUUACUCUACAAGUCUUGAUGAUUUUUAAGUUUUAAUUGUUACCUGUUGACUUCCUAGCAUGGGAAGAAAGGAUUUAACCCUCCCCUCCCGUCACGGACACAGACACACCCCUCCGCACCCCCCACCCUCCUCUUCCAUCCGUUCUGUAUGCGGAUCGUACGUUUUGGUGGGAUAUUCGGAUGUCACACUGGGUUCACAGUUAAGUCAGAUAACAUGUGUGAUGACACGCAGCUGCACGUCUUUGCGUACACAAAUUGUUUCCCUGAAGGUAAUAAUUGCAUUGCUUUCCUGUUUGCUGAGUGUUCUCCUGGUAUCACUCGUUCGGCCCAGAAUCUUUAUAAAAGUGUCGCAUGUCCUUUCACUGCACCCGCACACGUGUGCCAUCUCUCAGCCCCUGGAGCCCAUGUCUCUGGGGGUCCCACCUCCUUGGUUCCGCGCUGGGCUGGCCGCUCUCGAGACCCACCGCGUCACCGCAUCCCCGGGCUCCCGGGCCUGGGCUCCGUUCCCGUCCUCCUGGGGAACGCGGCCCCCCCCUCGCUCUGCUGUGGCUUCUCUGCCUCCUGGAUCCCGUGGCUUCUUCCUGCUUGUUUUCCUCCUUCGCUUUGUAGAAGCACGUUGUCCAGUAAUGUCUCCAAAAGAGGAAGGAUGGCUUUUGUUUCUGGAGGGUGCACACCUGAAACGGUCUUUAUUCCACGCUUCCAUGUGGUUGAUUAUUUGAUUGGACACAGAAUUACCAAUACAGCUCAGAAACAUUUUUUUCUCCUGAUUUUAAACCAUUAUGCUGUUAUUGUCAGGUGUGCUUCGGAUUUUCAGUACUUUCUAGGCGAACUGUUUUUUUUUUUGUUUUUUUUUUUAUCACUGUUAACUUUAAACGUGUUCUCUCUAACUCUAGUGUCUUGAAACUUCACAGACAGAUAUUUUUAUGUAGGUCUUUUUCCUUUACUGUUCUACAUUGCCAGGGGGCCCUUUCAAACUGGAAACAUAUCUUUCUCUUUUUACAUAGUUAAAAUAAUUCUCUUCAAAUAAUAUUUUCUA